rnacentral:tRNA from 1 species
GCGCCAGUAGCUCAGCUGGAUAGAGUACUGCCCUCCGAAGGCAGGGGUCGUGGGUUCGAAUCCCGCCUGGCGCGCCA